UACGUAGGGUGCAAGCGUUGUCCGGAAUCAUUGGGCGUAAAGCGCGCGUAGGUGGCUCUGUAAGUCCGUUGUGAAAGUCAAAGGCUCAACCUUUGAAUGCCGAUGGAUACUGCAGAGCUAGAGUACGGAAGAGGCGAGUGGAAUUCCUGGUGUAGCGGUGGAAUGCGCAGAUAUCAGGAGGAACACCAAUAGCGAAGGCAGCUCGCUGGGCCGAUACUGACGCUGAGGAGCGAAAGCGUGGGGAGCGAACAGG
rnacentral:rRNA from 1 species